UUUUCUGUUGCAAUCAUGCAAAAGCUAAGAUAGGGUAUCAUUGGAUUAGAGGAAUUUAAGAGGGUACUCGGGGACGUAAAAAUCUCUGCCUUUAUAACAAGCUCUAGAGUUGGAUGUGAAUGCAUGUAGGAGCUGGUUUGUGGUUUGGAGAGUUGUUAUUAUUUGUUAAGAGCCAUGAAGACUUGUCUUUGAAUAGGGGCAAGAGCAGUUUAAGAAUAAUAUUGGAGUGAAACUCGGGUGAUGGAGUCGCUUCCCCAGAGCCCGCAAUAUAAACAGAGAAGAUGCAUUCUGGAAACAUUAUAAUUAUAAGGAGAUUUUUCCCAUAGCAAAAUAGGCAUCUCUUAUAUUGUUUUGUCUGUUGUUUCGAUGAUUUACGGGAGGAUCAAUUCUGCAUCUCUUCUCUGAGCACUGACUGCUGAUUCUUACAUGAUUCAAGAUUAAGGAAAUUGAUUCCUUUCGUGGUGGUGAUGAUCUCUGACAUGAUAGUUCCAUUCUAGUGCUUGCCUCAGGUCACUCUUGAAGUGGAUCUGGCAUUCAUCCUCUUGCUUAGGAUGAUGCUAGGCUGUCCAGCAACUUCCAUCUGCAUGAUAUAGAGGCUGGUUAUUGGAAACCAUGCUGCUGGUUUUGGACAUGCCUGAUUGUCCAGAAUCUUGCAGCCUGAUGGAAGAGUCAUAAGCUGUUGUCAUUAAUCUUCUUCUUGUGUUGAUUUGAUUUACUUAAGGUGCUUUGCUGUAAUAAACAGAUCUAGCUAGAAUAAAUCUAGCUGCUGAUCGGUUUCAGACUCCCUGUGAGUGGUGCUGGUCUACAAAACGAAGUCAUGUUAUGUUGUCGAUGCACCUACCAAGUUUUGUUUUUUCCCCGGACUGGGGUGGGUUGUUGCUAAGCCCUUUGGAUCUCGUGGUUCAAUAACUAUGGUAGACUUUUCUGACACUAUUAAAACAACAGUAGAGAGGGUUUUAAUGCAGAAUUUAUUGCAAAUUAAGAGGUGUUCGGUACUUCAUCUACAAACUUCUUGCUGUCUGAAAUAGUCUGAAAAGUGACGGUAUUCAGGUGCUGUCUG
rnacentral:lncRNA from 1 species